CACUGCAAGCGUUGCUGUGCGCGCGCCUGCGGGACGCGAUGCUCGUGCCCGCCGCGAGGUUGCGCGCGUGCGCCGCUCUUCCUGCGGAUUCGACAGGACCGAGAGCGGAGGGAGUCCAACCCGGAGGAGAAUGAACAACAAAUUUGACGCUCUGAAAGAUGACGAUAGCGGAGAUCAUGACCAGGACAAUGGCUCACCGAAAGACAGUGAGAAGGAAAAAACUGAGGAUGAGGAGAAGGACCAAAACACUACCAAGAGGAAGCCUGUGGUUCCUGGCGCAGGGGAACACCCUUUGCAGUAUAACUACACAUUCUGGUACUCUAGGCGAACCCCAGGCAGACCAGCCAGCACACAGAGCUAUGAACAGAACAUCAAACAGAUUGGCAGCUUUGCUUCGGUGGAGCAGUUCUGGCGUUUUUACAGUCACAUGAUCAGACCAGGUGAUCUGACUGGCCACAGUGACUUCCACCUGUUCAAAGAAGGAAUCAAACCCAUGUGGGAGGACGAUGCUAAUAAGAGUGGCGGGAAGUGGAUAAUACGGCUGCGUAAGGGUCUGGCCUCGCGCUGCUGGGAGAAUUUGAUCUUGGCAAUGUUGGGGGAGCAGUUUAUGGUGGGCGAGGAGAUUUGUGGAGCUGUCGUCUCUGUACGAUUCCAGGAGGACAUCAUAUCUAUCUGGAACAAAACCGCAAGUGACCAGGCCACAACUGCUCGCAUCAGAGACACACUGCGACGAGUCCUCAAUCUGCCCCCAAACACCAUCAUGGAGUACAAAACACACACUGACAGCAUCAAGGCCUGGGAGGAUUUCCAUGGUCUCGUAAACGCUAGUGGUGGCCGCUAGCUCUUCAUCAUGUGCAAAAAAUGCAGAGGGGUAGGAGCAGCGUAGCACCCCAGUUUAGUUUACUUUUGUGUGGAUGAAGAGGACAUUUCUACGGGAUAAACUUAUUUAUCAAUUCACCAUUUUAAAAACGAAACAAAAAAUGGACACUUGUGGAGUCUGUUUUAAAUUACCCGAGGAGCUGAAAACCUCUUAGAAUGAGGCUCACGCAGCCAGUGGUUACGCAGCGGGCGUUCCAGAUGACUGCAAGCUCUUUCUUCAACCAGCAGGGGGAGCCUGCAGAAAUGGGCCGCAAAGACUGCAGAUACCGUGGCUCAGACGAAGACUGGUUGACGUGGUGUAUCGUUGUACAGAAGGCACAUUUACCUGAAUUAGCUUGUUAUUCUUAGAAUCUUCAACAAAAUACCCCCUUUAGAAAGAGAGUACUUUUAUUUUACAUUGUAACAAACAGGGUUACAUUUUACUAUAGUGCAGUAUUUUAACUACAGUGUUAAGAAAGAAAUGUCGUUGAAUUUAGAACUUGUACAAAAAAAUAUAUUUCUAAGGUCAUUUGAAGAGGAUGGGAUGUGCUCUUGAUCUUUUUCUGUUUUGAGCUGAGGGUGUUGAAGCCUAAGAGACGUUGCUGCCUAUCGCACUGUGCCUGGCCAGGAGAGGCCUCUGCUGGACUUUGUGACUCCACCAUCCAAGGAGAGUCUGGUGACAUCAAACUUGUCAUCAGGCGCUGUGGCUGUGCUCCACCAUUCUAUCCCCAACCCAAGGGUCAGCUGAACUAGCCUGUGUCUCCUUCACCACGGAGUAGAGCUAAAGAAUGGUGGGGAGUUGGCUCUUGUUUGUCUACAUCUCUUACAUACUGCCUGGAAUUCAGUGAUGGUGCUGAAAGUACUGGUGUUUGAGGUAAUAUUUUGAUUACGAUUGACUAAUGAUAGCAAUAAAUGUUGAAUAUGCAGCUGCUGCUAA